rnacentral:tRNA from 6 species
GGAGCGGUAGUUCAGCUGGUUAGAAUACCUGCCUGUCACGCAGGGGGGCGCGGGUUCGAGUCCCGUCCGUUCCGCCA